rnacentral:rRNA from 1 species
GCUGGCGGCGUGCCUAAUACAUGCAAGUCGAACGCACAGCGAAAGGUGCUUGCACCUUUCAAGUGAGUGGCGAACGGGUGAGUAACACGUGGACAACCUGCCUCAAGGCUGGGGAUAACAUUUGGAAACAGAUGCUAAUACCGAAUGAAACUUAGUGUCGCAUGAUACGAAGUUAAAAGGCGCUUUGGCGUCACCUAGAGAUGGAUCCGCGGUGCAUUAGUUAGUUGGUGGGGUAAAGGCCUACCAAGACAAUGAUGCAUAGCCGAGUUGAGAGACUGAUCGGCCACAUUGGGACUGAGACACGGCCCAAACUCCUACGGGAGGCUGCAGUAGGGAAUCUUCCACAAUGGGCGAAAGCCUGAUGGAGCAACGCCGCGUGUGUGAUGAAGGCUUUCGGGUCGUAAAGCACUGUUGUAUGGGAAGAACAGCUAGAAUAGGGAAUGAUUUUAGUUUGACGGUACCAUACCAGAAAGGGACGGCUAAAUACGUGCCAGCAGCCGCGGUAAUACGUAUGUCCCGAGCGUUAUCCGGAUUUAUUGGGCGUAAAGCGAGCGCAGACGGUUGAUUAAGUCUGAUGUGAAAGCCCGGAGCUCAACUCCGGAAUGGCAUUGGAAACUGGUUAACUUGAGUGCAGUAGAGGUAAGUGGAACUCCAUGUGUAGCGGUGGAAUGCGUAGAUAUAUGGAAGAACACCAGUGGCGAAGGCGGCUUACUGGACUGUAACUGACGUUGAGGCUCGAAAGUGUGGGUAGCAAACAGGAUUAGAUACCCUGGUAGUCCACACCGUAAACGAUGAACACUAGGUGUUAGGAGGUUUCCGCCUCUUAGUGCCGAAGCUAACGCAUUAAGUGUUCCGCCUGGGGAGUACGACCGCAAGGUUGAAACUCAAAGGAAUUGACGGGGACCCGCACAAGCGGUGGAGCAUGUGGUUUAAUUCGAAGCAACGCGAAGAACCUUACCAGGUCUUGACAUCCUUUGAAGCUUUUAGAGAUAGAAGUGUUCUCUUCGGAGACAAAGUGACAGGUGGUGCAUGGUCGUCGUCAGCUCGUGUCGUGAGAUGUUGGGUUAAGUCCCGCAACGAGCGCAACCCUUAUUGUUAGUUGCCAGCAUUCAGAUGGGCACUCUAGCGAGACUGCCGGUGACAAACCGGAGGAAGGCGGGGACGACGUCAGAUCAUCAUGCCCCUUAUGACCUGGGCUACACACGUGCUACAAUGGCGUAUACAACGAGUUGCCAACCCGCGAGGGUGAGCUAAUCUCUUAAAGUACGUCUCAGUUCGGAUUGUAGUCUGCAACUCGACUACAUGAAGUCGGAAUCGCUAGUAAUCGCGGAUCAGCACGCCGCGGUGAAUACGUUCCCGGGUCUUGUACACACCGCCCGUCACACCAUGGGAGUUUGUAAUGCCCAAAGCCGGUGGCCUAACCUUUUUGGAAGGAGCCGUCUAAGGCAGGACAGAUGAC